GGUCCCAGUUCGGAUUGUAGGCUGCAACCCGCCUACAUGAAGUUGGAAUUGCUAGUAAUCGCAGAUCAGAAUGCUGCGGUGAAUACGUUCCCGGGCCUUGUACACACCGCCCGUCAAGCCAUGGAAGCCGGGGGUGCCUGAAGUGCGCUGCCGCAAGGAGCGUCCUAGGGUAAAACCGGUGACUGGGGCUAAGUCGUAACAAGGUACC
rnacentral:rRNA from 1 species